GAAAUUUCAAAUUCCAGUUUGUGGACAAAGUCCUAAGUUUCUCACAAUAUAGGUCCCCAACCACUGACCAAACUCCAGUCCAGGCAGCCAGCAGGCCUGGGGCUGCUUCCUUUGGCAGCUCCCAAGGUCUGGAGGGGAAGAGAUCCUGUCCCAGGGGGCCCGCCAGGCCAUUCCUGCGGCUCCAUCCCACCCCACAGGGACCCCUGCCUCGCACCCGAGAGGAGCCCUCUGCCUGGAGCUGGGAUCUGAUGCUUGUUGGCACCGACAGCAGAUAUCAGGCACAUGGCAGGAUUACCCUUUCUCGCCUCCUUCGAAGUUGGAUGUGACCAUGGGACUGAUCUUGGCCAAUGAAGUGUGAACAGAAACCAUCGGUGUCACACCUGAGCGGAAGGGUUAGGAGCCAGUGCUGAGGUUGUUGUGGAAGCACAUACAGAUGUGGAGUCGGUAGGGAGAGAAGAACGCCCUGCCAGCCCAUGCCGGAGGAUGUGUGCCACACGUGAGCAGUAAGUGUCCUCUGUGUUAGCCACGGAGGCACGUGCUUGUUUUGGUCAUUGUGACAUAGCCUCACCUGUCUUUCCUGAACACGUUCUUCCCACAGCUUCACAGAUAUUCCUAUGACCAUUACGAUUUGUCAUAUCUGAAAGCCACUCAUGCCAUUAACACUCUCCUUCACAUCAACUCACUUAUUUUAACUUAGACCUAUUUUAGAAGGAAAUGUUAUUACUACCAAAUGAAACACCAGUAUUAUAAGUAGAAGCCAAAGGGAAAAUAAGCAGAGUGAAAUAAACUGCUAUAGUAUAUCCUGACUUAAUAUUGUUAUCUUUCAAAGCCUCUGUGUCCUUGAUCUGUUCUCUCUUUGUUAAAAAACAAAAACAACAAAAAAGGAGGUCCCUAAGUGUGUCAACCUUUUGGGCUCCAGAAAAGUGUCUGAGAUUGUCAGAUGUUUGGUGGCAACACGGCAUAGAGGUGAGAGCACAAAUUCUGGAACCUGACUUUCUAGGCUUGAAUUCUGGUUCUGCCAUAAACAAGCUGUGUGACCUUCGCCCCAGAAGACAAUCCAGGACCAACAAAUGGAUGCUACAAGGUUUGUACUCAAAAGGGAGAGAAUUUUUCUACCAGAAACAAUGGUUCUUACCAGGGGAAAAGCUGCUUUAUUAAGUAAUGAGCAUCCUGUCAUGGGAGUAUCAAGCCCAAGCUAAAUGUCAGGGAGGAGGGUGACAAAAUUCCAGCAAAGGACCAGAGGUUGAACCAAAGUAGUAUCUCCCAGGUGCAAAAGUCUUAAAUAAAAUAUAAUCAGAACCAAAUUCAUGGUUGGAAAAACUGGCUUAAGAAUGAAGUUGGACUCUUAGUUUAUACCAUAUACAAAAAUUAAUACAAAAUGGAAUAAAGACCUAAACAUAAGAGCUAAAACUAUAAAAUUUUUAGAAGAAAACAUAGGGGGAAAUAUUCAUGACAUUGGAUUUGGCAAUAAUUUCUUGGAUAUGACACCAAAAGUACAAUCAUUGAAAGAAAAAGAAAAAAAUAGAUACACUAAAGUACAUAUAAAUUUAAAACUUUUGUGCACCAAAGUAUAUUAUCAACAGAAUGAAAGGGCAACCAUGGAAUGGGAGAAAAUAUUUGCAAAUUAUAUAUGUGAUAAGGGGUUAAUAUCAAGAAUAUAUAAAAGUUCCUAUAACUCACAAACAACAAAAAAUAAAAAAACCAAUUUUCAAUUCAGCAAAGGGUUUGAACAGAGAUUUCUUCAAGGAAAAUAUACAAAUGACUAGGACGGACAUAAAAAGAUGCUCAAUGUCACUAAUCACUAAGAUAUACAAGUCAAAACCACAAUGAGAUACCACAUCACACUCAUUAAGAUGAAUAUAUUUUUUUUAAAAAAAAGAUAAAAACAAGUGUUGGCAAGGAUGUUGAGAAAUUGAAACUGAUUUGCACUGUGGUGAGAAAUGGAAAAUAGUCUGUCAGUUCCUUAAAAAAUAUAAUUCAUGUAUUUACUAUACACAUAACUAGUAUAUUCAAAAGAAUUGAAAGCAGGGUCUGAAAUACAUAUUUUUUACAUUUAUUUCAUAGCAACAUUAUUCAUAAGAGCCAAAAGUUAGAAGCAAGCCAAGUGUCAAAUGAUAGAUGUGAUAUAAAUAUACAAUGGAAUAUUAUUCAGCCUUAAAAAAGAAAGGAAGUUCUGAUAAUUGCUACAAUAUAGAUGAACCUUGAGAACUUUCUGCUAUAAUAAGUGAAAUAGACUAGUCACAAAAAAGUGAAU